rnacentral:rRNA from 1 species
UACGUAGGCAGCAAGCGUUACUCGGAAUUACUGGGCGUAAAGCGUGCGUAGGCGGUUUGUUAAGUCCGUUGUGAAAGCCCUGGGCUCAACCUGGGAAUUGCAGUGGAUACUGGCGAGCUAGAGUGCGGUAGAGGAUGGUGGAAUUCCCGGUGUAGCGGUGAAAUGCGUAGAGAUCGGGAGGAACACCCGUGGCGAAGGCGGCCAUCUGGACCAGCACUGACGCUGAGGCACGAAAGCGUGGGGAGCAAACAGG